CGAGCGGUAUUUGUCUUUCGGGACAGAGAGAGCGGCGUACGGGUGCGGAACACGUGUGCAACCUGCCUUUAUCUGGGGGAUAGCCUUUCGAAAGGAAGAUUAAUACCCCAUAAUAUAAUUGAUGGCAUCAUUGAUUAUUGAAAACUCCGGUGGAUAGAGAUGGGCACGCGCAAGAUUAGAUAGUUGGUGAGGUAACGGCUCACCAAGUCGAUGAUCUUUAGGGGGCCUGAGAGGGUGAUCCCCCACACUGGUACUGAGACACGGACCAGACUCCUACGGGAGGCAGCAGUGGGGAAUAUUGCACAAUGGGCGCAAGCCUGAUGCAGCCAUGCCGCGUGUAUGAAGAAGSCCUUCGGGUUGUAAAGUACUUUCAGCGAGGAGGAAGGCAUUAAGGUUAAUAACCUUAGUGAUUGACGUUACUCGCAGAAGAAGCACCGGCUAACUCCGUGCCAGCAGCCGCGGUAAUACGGAGGGUGCAAGCGUUAAUCGGAAUUACUGGGCGUAAAGCGCGCGUAGGUGGUUUGUUAAGUUGGAUGUGAAAUCCCCGGGCUCAACCUGGGAACUGCAUUCAAAACUGACUGACUAGAGUAUGGUAGAGGGUGGUGGAAUUUCCUGUGUAGCGGUGAAAUGCGUAGAUAUAGGAAGGAACACCAGUGGCGAAGGCGACCACCUGGACUGAUACUGACACUGAGGUGCGAAAGCAUGGGGAGCAAACAGGAUUAGAUACCCUGGUAGUCCACGCCGUAAACGAUGUCAACUAGCCGUUGGGAGCCUUGAGCUCUUAGUGGCGCAGCUAACGC
rnacentral:rRNA from 1 species